UCUGCUAAAUUCUCCGUUCAAGCGCUCCAUUCUUGUUGAGGCAGAGAACUGACUUGAGCGUCGGAGGGUCUUGUCGGAGCAACCCCACCUCCGGUUUAGACUUUCCUUGCAGGUCCCAGCGGCGACCGCGGCUUCCCCGACUCCAGCUUCUCCGACGCAAGCUUCUCCGACGCAAGCGAAUUUUUGCACCAAAAGGAUUGGCACU
rnacentral:lncRNA from 1 species